GUCUCCGUUGGUGAACCAGCGGAGGAUCAUUA
rnacentral:rRNA from 1 species